rnacentral:rRNA from 1 species
CCUACGGGAGGCAGCAGUGGGGAAUAUUGGGCAAUGGAGGAAACUCUGACCCAGCGACGCCGCGUGCGGGAUGAAGGCCUUCGGGUUGUAAACCGCUUUCAGCAGGGAAGAAGCGAAAGUGACGGUACCUGCAGAAGAAGCACCGGCUAACUAUGUGCCAGCAGCCGCGGUAAUACAUAGGGUGCAAGCGUUGUCCGGAAUUAUUGGGCGUAAAGAGCUCGUAGGUGGUUCGUCACGUCGGAUGUGAAAAUCUGGGGCUUAACCCCAGACCUGCAUUCGAUACGGGCGAGCUUGAGUAUGGUAGGGGAGUCUGGAAUUCCUGGUGUAGCGGUGGAAUGCGCAGAUAUCAGGAGGAACACCAAUGGCGAAGGCAGGACUCUGGGCCAUUACUGACACUGAGGAGCGAAAGCGUGGGGAGCGAACAGGAUUAGGAUACCCUGGUAGUCCACGCCGUAAACGGUGGGCACUAGUUGUGGGGACCUUCCACGGUCUCUGCGACGCNGCUACGCAUAGUGCCCGCCGUCGGGAGGUACGAGUCGCGAAGAAGUUAAACGUACGUAAAGUUAAGUUAGUACGGCGUUGAGACGUUGCCGACGGACGACGACGAGGGAGGAGG